AAUUAUCGGACCAUAAUCGUAGAGUUAGUGGGCUGUUUAUUUUUAUUAAUAGCCAUGACACGUAGUCGAUAACCGUUCAUAACAGUUAGGGUGUAUUGAGAAGAUGGACCGACUAUAUGUCGGUAAUACUGAUAAGUUGGUAAUGACUCGAAUGAGCAUCGGCUGGUAACUCUGAUAUGUCGAUGGUCUUCAAUCGGGAGUUAACCAAAUUGUUUGUUGAUAGUUGAUAGUAGCCGACUGUAGGUCGGUUCACCGAUCGUGAAUCGACGUAAUGUGUUCAUACGGUCGAUGUAGAAUCAGAGUCGGAAGUCGGUUGACUUGUCCCAACAGUUGCCCCCCACUUCUAAGUUCAAGAUGAUCCGACGUGUACAUUAUCACGUGGUCUGUCACAUUGGACGAAAGGAGUCAUCACGUAUUGCCUCGAGCCCCGACUUGACUGCCAAUCUUUUUGGAGUACGAGAGUUCUCUGACUGUUUUGUCGUUUUGGUAGCUGCAGAAUCAUUAUUGGGCUGUCAUUUCGACAGGACAAUUCGGUAUCGGAUGUCAUUUCAGAAAAAUAAUUUGGCAUCGGAUGAUACGAUUAUGAUUAGUAGAUCUUGACCAUGUGUCCGAGCAUCAUUGGGUCAGAGCUGUUCACGCAGAUGAUGGUGAGG
rnacentral:lncRNA from 1 species